GGAGAUAGCUGGUUCUCCGCGAAAUCUAUUUAGGUAGAGCGUCAUCCGAAUACCCUCGGGGGUAGAGCACUGGAUGGGUAAUGGGGCCUCACCGGCUUACUGAUCCUAACCAAACUCCGAAUACCGAGGAGUACUAGAUGGCAGACACACUGCGGAUGCUAACGUCCGUAGUGAAGAGGGAAACAACCCUGACCUACAGCUAAGGCCCCUAAUUCAUGGCUAAGUGGGAAAGCAGGUGGGACGACCAAAACAACCAGGAGGUUGGCUUAGAAGCAGCCAUCCUUUAAAGAAAGCGUAAUAGCUCACUGGUCGAGUCGGUCUGCGCGGAAGAUGUAACGGGGCUAAACUAUGCACCGAAGCUGCGGAUUCAUACUUUGUAUGAGUGGUAGGGGAGCGUUCUGUAAGCGGUUGAAGGUGUACCGGGAGGUAUGCUGGACGUAUCAGAAGUGCGAAUGCUGACAUGAGUAACGAUAAUGCGGGUGAAAAACCCGCACGCCGGAAGACCAAGGGUUCCUGCGCAACGCUAAUCGGCGCAGGGUGAGUCGGCCCCUAAGGCGAGGCAGAAAUGCGUAGUCGAUGGGAAACGGGUUAA
rnacentral:rRNA from 14 species